rnacentral:lncRNA from 1 species
CAAGUAUUGUGCCAUGACUUACACAUUUACCAGGGUAAAAUAGGACAAAUUUGAAUAUCAACAUUUAUUUUAAGGCACCAACAUUUAUUUCCUCAAUUAUUGUGCCGUGACUUGCACAUUUACCACAAGGAAGGGCAUGUAGUAGCUGAAGCAAACUUCCUCAGCUUUCAGGUAGUAAUCUUCCAACUACUGUUGGCAGCAAUGCAGAUUGUCAAAUGCACACCUAAACUUAAAAUUUGGGGAUAAUUCAGAAAGAAUUCCGAGAUGUUUAUCCUAAAGAUUAUGUGUUAGUUACACUUAAAUAGAGGCAAAUUAAGCUUGAAAGUAAUCAUUAAACAUAAAAUAGUUCCUGGGAUCUGCUACACUUAAUUAAAUCAAAUUUAUUUUUCUCCAGUUCUGUAUCAGGUAGCGGGGGGAAAGUGAGGAAUUCUGGAUUUGGAGCUUGAGGUCCGGGAUUCAAGUUCCAACUUUGCAGCUUAUUACCUCCACCACUUUUUGAGGUACUGCUAUGUCUCAGCAUAAUUCUUAUCCUGGUUAAUUUUACUCUUGACAGAAAUAAAAUCCAGUGAGAUUCAACAAAUUGUCAAGUUACACACUUCUGAAUGACAGAUUUGGGACCAGAAGCUAGACCUCAGGUAUCUGAUGGUGUUCUUUGAAUUGUGUCCAAGUAUUCUUGUUC